rnacentral:rRNA from 1 species
GACGAACGCUGGCGGCGCGCCUAACACAUGCAAGUCGAACGAGCGAGAGAGAGCUUGCUUUCUUGAGCGAGUGGCGAACGGGUGAGUAACGCGUGAGGAACCUGCCUCAAAGAGGGGGACAACAGUUGGAAACGACUGCUAAUACCGCAUAAGCCCACGGUUCCGCAUGGCACAGAGGGAAAAGGAGCAAUCCGCUUUGAGAUGGCCUCGCGUCCGAUUAGCUAGUUGGUGAGGUAACGGCCCACCAAGGCGACGAUCGGUAGCCGGACUGAGAGGUUGAACGGCCACAUUGGGACUGAGACACGGCCCAGACUCCUACGGGAGGCAGCAGUGGGGAAUAUUGCACAAUGGGGGAAACCCUGAUGCAGCGACGCCGCGUGGAGGAAGAAGGUCUUCGGAUUGUAAACUCCUGUUGUUGGGGAAGAUAAUGACGGUACCCAACAAGGAAGUGACGGCUAACUACGUG